CCUACGGGAGGCAGCAGUGGGGAAUAUUGGGCAAUGGGCGCAAGCCUGACCCAGCAACGCCGCGUGAAGGAAGAAGGCUUUCGGGUUGUAAACUUCUUUUGACAGGGAAGAGCAGAAGACGGUACCUGUCGAAUAAGCCACGGCUAACGACGUGCCAGCAGCCGCGGUAAUACGUAGGUGGCAAGCGUUGUCCGGAUUUACUGGGGGUAAAGGGCGUGUAGCCGGGCUGACAAGUCAGAUGUGAAAUCCGGGGGCUCAACCCCCGAACUGCAUUUGAAACUGUUGGUCUUGAGUAUCGGAGCGGCAGGCGGAAUUCCUAGUGUAGCGGUGAAAUGCGUAGAUAUUAGGAGGAACACCAGUGGCGAAGGCGGCCUGCUGGACGACAACUGACGGUGAGGCGCGAAAGCGUGGGGAGCAAACAGGAUUAGAUACCCUUGUAGUC
rnacentral:rRNA from 1 species